rnacentral:rRNA from 1 species
UACAGAGGUCUCAAGCGUUGUUCGGAUUCACUGGGCGUAAAGGGUGCGUAGGUGGUGAGGUAAGUCAGAUGUGAAAUCUCCGAGCUCAACUCGGAAACUGCAUUGGAAACUACCUUGCUCGAGGGUUGGAGGGGGGACUGGAAUGCUUGGUGUAGCAGUGAAAUGCGUAGAUAUCAAGCGGAACACCAGUGGCGAAGGCGAGUCCCUGGACAACUCCUGACACUGAGGCACGAAAGCUAGGGGAGCAAACAGG